AUUUUCGUUCCCCCAAAAGUUCAAUUCGGAAACCCUAGGUAUCAGUCUCGCCGUCUCUCCCCUCCUCCGUCAGCAAUGGCGCCCGAUUUGGCGGCGGCGAAUCGCCGUGUGAUGGAGGAUUUGACAAAGAAAUAUGGAGUGACCCCCGAAACCAUCGACUAUGUGACCCUUGGCCCGGUGUGCGUCGAGCCCCGCCGCAUCGUGAAGGUGCCUCGUCCUCCGAUCCCUUCCGCCGGCACGGAGGGGCCGCCGAGGCGUCAGCCCCGGGCGGAGCCGAGCCCGCUCGAGGCAGCGCUGCUGGACACCGUUCACCGGCACCACCUCCAGGCGCUCGCCAUGAUGGACCGCGAGAUCGUCGGCCGGCACGCGCGCGGCAUGCUGCUCGCGGGCUACGCCUACGGCCUCCACGACCCCGUCUGCAACAUCCUCGCCAACUGUCUCUGGCACGAUGCGGUGUUCCCCGCUUCCUCGAGCCAGGAGGUUCGUCAGCCCAUGAUGCUGAGCUGCAAGGCCAUAUUCCGCCUGGCUCGCCGCUCCCUCGAUGCCCUCGUCGCCUUCAUGAGGGCGUACGCGCCCACCCUGUCUGCUGAAGAGGCCAUGUCCUACCUGAGCAGAAGCCAUGGCAACCUUCACCAUGCCGCCGUGCUUGUUGACAGAGAAGGUGUUUUCCACACAAACCGCAUGGACGACGCCUUCAGGGCUGCCAUUCUGGCAGCGCAUCUCCCUAGUGACGCAGCUCGCGAGGCUCAAUUCUUUUUCAUUGUCAACUGUGCUCCUACAGAUGCUUUUCUUGCAAAGCAUGGAAUUCAUGGUCACCCAUUAGCUUUUGGAUUAUCUGACCUCAGGCCGCAAAGCAAUUCAUCGCUUAUAGUGCUUGAAUUUGUCAAGUUGGUUGUUUCCAGUUUAGCUCUCACACAGCCGCCACCAAGCUCGCCGAGCCUAAGCCAAGGAGCAUAUAGAGCGUUAAGGAUCAAGAUGCAUGCCUUCAAGGGGGAUCAGGAGUUUUGCCUUGGUAUAGUAAACAUCGCACUCAAGAAACUUGCGUUCCAGUUUGGGGAACUUUAUCAGAUUCAUCUACUAUGCGGCAAAAGUUUGGUUACUUUGGUUCCUGACAGCUAUUAUCAUGUCAACUUCUUGGCAUCUCUUGAGAGCGAGCCUAAUCAGCCUAAGCUGUUUUUUGCUGAGAUUCGUGCUUCACUUCAAGAUGUGGAUGAUGUGACCUUGUGCUGUCCCGUGACAUUAUCAGGAAGAACUGGUGGAUGCUCUGCUUGUGAGUAUCUGGGAAUGAAACUCAUCCAUCCUGUAGAUGAGAAGUUCAAUGGACAAUGUGACUUCACUAAGGGUAGAGACCCACACAUUGCUGAACUUUUCAGGAAAGACCCUACCUCAGAGUUUGAUGUUCCACUGAUUGAUGAUUACAUUUUCGUUGAGCUUGAUCAACACCCUGAGGUUACAACCUUCCUGGAGACCACUUACUCCUAUAUGAGUGAUGAUCAAGUGGACCUGAGUCUUUUGUGGUUUGAAAAUUAUCUGCCUUAAGCUGUUCUAUGGUAUGCAUAUGAUGUUUGUACACUGUCCUUUCUUAUAUUAGACAAUGACCCCUCUGUGAUUAGUAUGCAUAUGAGUGUAUGACUUUUCUGUAUCUUUUAUGAGAUAAUAACCCCACUUUAUCUUUUGAUCUCCUGUUUCUGUAAAUGCACUAACUUGGCAUUUCAAUAUGUUCUGACUAGAUCUUUAUUUUUUUGUUCCAACCAUCAUCCUUUACAGAAGGUUGUGCUGAAUCAAAGUGGGUAUAUAAUCUGACUGACAAAGAAGGGUAGUACUGUAAAGUCACAAAUGUUUUCUACUUGUAACUGAAUACGGACCAGUGAUUUUUGAAUCUGAAGAUUCAGACAGUGCGUCAAUUCGAACAAAAAAGAUUCAUGCAGUGCAGAAAAAGCGGGCCAGAGGAAAUUCAGUCUUCAAAACAGAACAUGCAGAUAUUUUGAUAGAGCAAAGAAACCUUGUUUGGGUUAUUAGUUCAAACAAGAGAAAGAGAUUAGCAUUUAUUCGCAUAUGUAUUUUUGAGCAAACAUUUGCGUGCAAUCUUAUCCUUUUCUUUUCUUUAUUUAAAGGGAACAUGCUAUGCUAAAUACUGUCCACAGAUGGGUGGUGUACAAGGUGAUCUCGGUCUGGAGCUCUGGAAAGUACUACAGGAAGUCAAGAUACUCCCUCCGUCCGGAAAUACUUGUCGGAGAAAGGGAUGAAUCUAGACGUAUUUUAGUUAUAGGUACAUUCAAUUUUAUCCAUUUCUUCGACAAGUAUUUCGGGACGGAGGGAGUAGUUUAUUAGUACAAGCAUUGGUUCCAUUCGAAUAUUUUUGGUUAUGUUCCUAUUUCCC
rnacentral:rRNA from 1 species